rnacentral:rRNA from 1 species
AUUGAACGCUGGCGGCAGGCCUAACACAUGCAAGUCGAACGAGUGGCGGACGGGUGAGUAAUGUCUGGGAAACUGCCUGAUGGAGGGGGAUAACUACUGGAAACGGUAGCUCAUACCGCAUCCCAUCAGAUGUGCCCCUAUGGGUUUAGCUUGUUGGGGGGGUAACGGCUCACCAAGGCGACGAUCCCUAGCUGGUCUGAGCGGAUGACCCGGCACGCUGGAACUUAGACACGGUCCAGACUCGUACGGGGGGCAGCGGUGGGGAAUAUUGCACAAGGGGCGCAAGCCUGAUGCAGCCAUGCCGCGUGUAUGAAGAAGGCCUUCGGGUUGUAAAGUACUUUCAGCAGGGAGUCGUUACCCGCAGAAGAAGCACCGGCUAACUCCGUGCCAGCAGCCGCGGUAAUUC